UCCGCUUCUCGGCCUUUUGGCUAAGAUCAAGUGUAGUAUCAGUUCUUAUCAGUUUCUGCCAGUGGAUGGGAAACGCUGGUGUGAGACUGGUGGGGAUGGGUGCUGCAUGGAGGGGGCAGGUGUACCGGCGCGUUCCGGGGCUGGUUCUGAGGAAUCAGCUCGACGGCUGCUCAGAUGUGACCUGUU